UAAAUAGUGAGAACCAAGGUUUGGUCUACUCACAAACCCUGAAAAUCUAAAAGUUCUGCUAAAUCGAAAAUGGCAAAUCCAUCCUCACUUCUGCUAGUGCUAACUCUAACCCCAGUCUAAGCCCGCCACCACUACCACCUUCACCACCACUACCCCAAGACCAAACACCCUCCCUCAUUCUACUGACACCUCUCACACCACAACAUGAAGCCACCAUAGAAACCCCCAUCCUAGCCCCUGCCAUCAAAACCCCUAUUGAAACACCAUUUAUUGAAACCCAAGUUCAAGAACCAAUGCCUCAGCCUGCGCCAACUCAAG
rnacentral:misc_RNA from 1 species